rnacentral:tRNA from 1 species
GGAAAGGUGGCAGAGUGGUCGAAUGCAUCACUUUCGAAAAGUGACAUCGGGGUAACCUGAUCGAGGGUUCGAAUCCCUCCCUUUCCG